GGAUUAUGGCCUAGUGAGAUGUCUAUAUGGAAAAAGCCAGUUCAUAUGCUAAUCAGGAGUGUGAUGUAAUCAUUGACCUGUGAAGAGGAAACAACCAGCAUAAGCCACCUUACCCUAUAAGUUACAGCACCAAAACUAGGACUUGGCACGAUGCCAUGCAGCUAUCCAGAAAGAUACCUCUCUAGAUGUAGAGCAGAAGAAUCACACAG